GCCUAACACAUGUCUUUGUCGAGCGCCCCGCAAGGGGAGCGGCAGACGGGUGAGUAACGCGUGGGAAUCUACCCAGCUCUACGGAAUAACUCAGGGAAACUUGUGCUAAUACCGUAUACGUCCGAUAGGAGAAAGAUUUAUCGGAGUUGGAUGAGCCCGCGUUGGAUUAGCUAGUUGGUGGGGUAAUGGCCUACCAAGGCGACGAUCCAUAGCUGGUCUGAGAGGAUGAUCAGCCACACUGGGACUGAGACACGGCCCAGACUCCUACGGGAGGCAGCAGUGGGGAAUAUUGGACAAUGGGCGCAAGCCUGAUCCAGCCAUGCCGCGUGAGUGAUGAAGGCCCUAGGGUUGUAAAGCUCUUUCACCGGUGAAGAUAAUGACGGUAACCGGAGAAGAAGCCCCGGCUAACUUCGUGCCAGCAGCCGCGGUAAUACGAAGGGGGCUAGCGUUGUUCGGAAUUACUGGGCGUAAAGCGCACGUAGGCGGAUUGUUAAGUUAGGGGUGAAAUCCCAGGGCUCAACCCUGGAACUGCCUUUAAUACUGGCAAUCUCGAGUCCGAGAGAGGUGAGUGGAAUUCCGAGUGUAGAGGUGAAAUUCGUAGAUAUUCGGAGGAACACCAGUGG
rnacentral:rRNA from 1 species